rnacentral:misc_RNA from 1 species
GAUGAAGAACGUAGCGAAAUGCGAUAAGUAAUGUGAAUUGCAGAAUUCAGUGAAUCAUCGAAUCUUUGAACGCACAUUGCGCCCGCCAGUAUUCUGGCGGGCAUGCCUGUUCGAGCGUCAUUUCAACCAUCAAGUCCCAGGCUUGUGUUGGGGACCUGCGGCUGCCGCAGGCCCUGAAAACCAGUGGCGGGCUCGCUGUCACACCGGGCGUAGUAGAUUUUAUCUCGCUCAGGGCGUGCUGCGGGUUCCGGCCGUUAAAAAGCCUUUUUUACCCAAGGUUGACCUCGGAUCAGGUAGGAAGACCCGCUGAACUUAAGCAUAUCAAUAAGCGGAGGA